UACGUAGGGGGCGAGCGUUGUCCGGAUUUAUUGGGCGUAAAGAGCUCGUAGGCGGUUUGGCAAGUCGGGUGUGAAAACUCCGGGCUCAACUCGGAGACGCCACUCGAUACUGCCAUGACUCGAGUCCGGUAGGGGAGUGGCGGAAUUCCUGGUGUAGCGGUGAAAUGCGCAGAUAUCAGGAGGAACACCGGUGGCGAAGGCGGGUCUCUGGGCAGUAACUGACGCUGAGGAGCGAAAGCGUGGGGAGCGAACAGG
rnacentral:rRNA from 1 species